ensembl:lncRNA
CUGGACUACUCCCAGCUCUCCAAAUGCACGUUGCUCUUCCACUGCCACAUCCUGGCCCUCUCUGGCACAUUGUUUGUCUUCCUGUCAGCUCUCUAUACAUCCAUCAAGGCUGUGUCUGUGUCAGCUCCUCCUAAAUCCACUCUGGCCAUCUCCCUGCACUGCCCUCCAGCCCAAGAAAAAACUGUGCCGCAUGACCCUAGACCCUUCAAACAUGCAGCCUCCUGUGUAUCCUGACUCUAGGGCCACUAUCUGUCUACAGGAAGCAUAAAUCUACAUUAAGUCUUGGUGAGACAUUGAAACAAUAGCAACAAACCAGGCAGGAGACCUGAUCUCACAUUGGCCGCCAUCUUGCUGUGCGGUCUUGGGGCCAGGCCACUAAGUCUCCUCUGGGCUUCAUUGGCCUCAGCUGCCACCUGGAUGAGAUGGUGGCCGGAAGCCUCUCCUACUUUCCUUCCUAUAGGGCCUUGAGCCAAACUGAUCGUGUGAGGAAGGACUGCUUCCCAGACAGAGUAGGGAGAUCGAGGCUCAGCCAGGUGAAGUCACUGGUUGAAGCCCAGUUGGUGAAGAUCCACAUCUGGAUCACAGGGUCCCCACCUCCUCACUCCCUCCAGGUCCCCUGCAGAGUAGUGGAG